AUUGAACGCUGGCGGCAGGCUUAACACAUGCAAGUCGAACGAAGUCUUCGGACUUAGUGGCGGACGGGUGAGUAACACGUGGGAACGUACCUUUUGGUUCGGAACAACUCAGGGAAACUUGAGCUAAUACCGGAUGAGCCCUUAGGGGGAAAGAUUUAUCGCCGAAAGAGCGGCCCGCGUUAGAUUAGCUAGUUGGUGAGGUAAAGGCUCACCAAGGCUACGAUCUAUAGCUGGUCUGAGAGGAUGAUCAGCCACACUGGGACUGAGACACGGCCCAGACUCCUACGGGAGGCAGCAGUGGGGAAUCUUGCGCAAUGGGCGAAAGCCUGACGCAGCCAUGCCGCGUGAAUGAUGAAGGUCUUAGGAUUGUAAAAUUCUUUUACCAGGGACGAAAAUGACGGUACCUGGAGAAAAAGCCCCGGCUAACUUCGUGCCAGCCGCCGCCGUAAGAC
rnacentral:rRNA from 1 species